GUGAGGGUUCCACAGAAUCACAGGAUUGUUUGUGUUGGAAGGAACUUCUGGAGAUCAUCCAGACCAUCCUUCCUGUCCAGAUGGGUUACCUGGUUCAGGUGACACAGGAAUGUGUCCAGACAGAGCUCCUCAACUUCAGAAGGCGAGUGGCUGUUUGAAAUUCCCUGUUCUGACACCACCGCUGGCAAAUCGCUCCUUGAACAACUUAAUGAGAUUCCCAGCGCCAAGAAAGAUGCACACCUUUUCCUGAAUAUGCAAUAAAAUUCUUGUAAUAAACAUAGCUCUAAGGAUCACCGUAUUUCUUAUGAAAAUCUGAAGUUUUCAUAUGCAAAAAGCAAAUUUCUGUUUCUCACGUUUCCACAGAAAAGCUCAGAAGCAUAAAUUUUCGAUACCCACUUCCAAGUAAAUGAGUCAAAUAAAAAAGAAGCCCCCAAACCAUACUUUAAAAGAAAAAAACAACCCAACCCUACCAGGAAC